CAGCACUUGAAGAGGUAUUUCCCUUGAAAUAUUUGUAAAAGAAAAAUAUUGUACUCUGAAAAGCACAAAUGAAUAAAAUAACGCCAUUCUUUACACAAUGAUGUUAUCUCUAUUAUGAAUGUCACUUCUCUUUGAAAAAGAAAGAACAGAAUAUGAAGACCCUGAGACAUAGAGACCUCAGAGGUAGAAGACCGGGAUCCCCAAGAUCUCCCGGAUACAAGUCCAGGAUCCCCAA
rnacentral:lncRNA from 1 species